GAUCCUGGCUCAGGAUGAACGCUGGCGGCGUGCUUAACACAUGCAAGUCGAGCGAAGCACUUUAACCUGAUUCUUCGGAUGAAGGUUUCUGUGACUGAGUGGCGGACGGGUGAGUAACGCGUGGGUAACCUGCCUCAUACAGGGGGAUAACAGUUAGAAAUGACUGCUAAUACCGCAUAAGACCACGGAGCCGCAUGGCUCAGUGGGAAAAACUCCGGUGGUAUGAGAUGGACCCGCG
rnacentral:rRNA from 1 species